rnacentral:rRNA from 1 species
UAAGCAACAAUGCCUGCUUCCAGGAAAAGCCUCUAAGCAUCAGGUAACAUCAAAUCGUACCCCAAACCGACACAGGUGGUCAGGUAGAGAAUACCAAGGCGCUUGAGAACUCGGGUGAAGGAACAGGCAAAAUGGUGCCGUAACUUCGGGAGAAGGCACGCUGAUAUAGGUGAGGUCCCUCGCGGAUGGAGCUGAAAUCAGUCGAAGAUACCAGCUGGCUGCAACUGUUUAUAAAAACACAGCACUGUGCAAACACGAAAGUGGACGUAUACGGUGUGACGCCUGCCCGGUGCCGGAAGGUUAAUUGAUGGGGUUAGCGCAAGCGAAGCUCUUGAUCGAAGCCCCGGUAAACGGCGGCCGUAACGAUAACGGUCCUAAGUAGCGAAAUUCUUGUCGGGUAAGUUCCGACCUGCACGAAUGGCGUAAUGAUGGCCAGGCUGUCUCCACCGAGACUCAGUGAAAUUGAACUCGCUGUGAAGAUGCAGUGUACCCGCGGCAAGACGGAAAGACCCCGUGAACCUUUACUAUAGCUUGACACUGAACAUUGAGCCUGAUGUGUAGGAUAGGUGGGAGGCUUUGAAGUGUGGACGCCAGUCUGCAUGGAGCCGACCUGAAAUACCCUUUAAUGUAUGAUGUUCUAACGUUGACCCGUAAUCCGGGUUGCGGACAGUGUCUGGUGGGUAGUUUGACUGGGGCGGUCUCCUCCUAAAGAGUAACGGAGGAGGAAGGUUGGCUAAUCCUGGUCGGACAUCAGGAGGUUAGUGCAAUGGCAUAAGCCAGCUUGACUGCGAGCGUGACGGCGCGAGCAGGUGCGAAAGCAGGUCAGUGAUCCAGUGGUUCUGAAUGAAGGCCAUCGCUCAACGGAUAAAAGGUACUCCGGGGAUACAGGCUGAUACCGCCCAAGAGUUCAUAUCGACGGCGGUGUUUGGCACCUCGAUGUCGGCUCAUCACAUCCUGGGGCUGAAGUAGGUCCCAAGGGUAUGGCUGUUCGCCAUUUAAAGUGGUACGCGAGCUGGGUUUAGAACGUCGUGAGACAGUUCGGUCCCUAUCUGGGCGCUGGAGAACUGAGGGGCUGCUCCUAGUACGAGAGGACCGGAGUGGACGCAUCACUGGUGUUCGGGUUGUCAUGCCAAUGGCACUGCCCGGUAGCUAAAUGCGGAAGAGAUAAGUGCUGAAAGCAUCUAAGCACGAAACUUGCCCCGAGAUGAGUUCUCCCUGACUCCUUGAGAGUCCUGAAGGAACGUUGAAGACGACGACGUUGAUAGGCCGGGUGUGUAAGCGCAGCGAUGCGUUGAGCUAACCGGUACUAAUGAACCGUGAG